rnacentral:rRNA from 1 species
UUUCGCAAUGCCCGAAAGGGUGACGAAGCGACGCCGCGUGAGUGAGGAAGGCCUUCGGGUUGUAAAGCUCUGUCAGGAGUUAAGAAAUAUAAGUGUGUUAAUACCACAUUUAUUUGACGAAGGCUCCAGAGGAAGCCACGGCUAACUCUGUGCCAGCAGCCGCGGUAAUACAGAGGUGGCAAGCGUUGUUCGGAAUUAUUGGGCGUAAAGAGCACGUAGGUGGGUUUGUAAGUCAGAUGUGAAAGCCUUCUGUUCAACGGAAGAAUUGCAUCUGAAACUGCGAGUCUUGAGUGUAGGAGGGGAGAAUGGAACUUCUGGUGGAGCGGUGAAAUGCGUAGAUAUCAGAAGGAACGCCGGCGGCGAAAGCGAUUCUCUGGCCCAUUACUGACACUCAGUGUGCGAAAGCUAGGGGAGCAAACGGGAUUAGAUACCCCGGUAGUCCUAGCUGUAAGCGAUGGGCACUAAGUAGAGGGGUUUUA